UGGGGAAUCUUGGACAAUGGGGGCAACCCUGAUCCAGCCAUGCCGCGUGAGUGAUGAAGGCCUUAGGGUCGUAAAGCUCUUUCGCCUGUGAAGAUAAUGACGGUAGCAGGUAAAGAAACCCCGGCUAACUCCGUGCCAGCAGCCGCGGGUAAUACGGAGGGGGUUAGCGUUGUUCGGAAUUACUGGGCGUAAAGCGCACGUAGGCGGACCAGAAAGUUGGGGGUGAAAUCCCGGGGGCUCAACCCCGGAACUGCCUCCAAAACUAUUGGUCUAGAGUUCGAGAGAGGUGAGUGGAAUUCCAAGUGUAGAGGUGAAAUUCGUAGAUAUUUGGAGGAACACCAGUGGCGAAGGCGGCUCACUGGCUCGAUACUGACGCUGAGGUGCGAAAGUGUGGGGAGCAAACAGGAUUAGAUACCCUGGUAGU
rnacentral:rRNA from 1 species